UAUAGUGAUGAUACAGAAGAAAACAGAGAUACAACAGCCAAUUAGCGAAAUCCACGUCAGGGCCUCUGCUUCCUCCGUUUCCUAAACAAUAUAGACAAAUUGAUUAAGGCUUCUUCUGUAUAUAUGGAAAGAUGAAAUAUUACUGUGUACCUCAUCGCUCCCAUCAUAUGACACACAACGCCAGCCUCCUUAGCGGUCCAUUUAUCAUCACAGAUAGUUCCCCAUAUUCCGGAAUGGAAAAUUUCAACCCGGCCUUCGUACGGGGUUUUUCCUUCUGACAAUCUAACUGUUCCUUCUUGUAUGUUAUCUGAAUUACAGCGAUGAAACCAAAAAGCAAAUCAUUUUAAAUAACUUUUACCACUGAUAUUUCGUAUCAGUCCUCAUUGAUGUAAGGGUGCAAUCACUUAUUAAAUUAUUCGAACUGU